AUCUGUGUUCCUGAACACAGCAUACUGUUUACUCUGUAAUUAACCAUUAAAUCUUGUUUACUGACUACUUGGAUCAAUUUUAUAGGACAAAUGGAACCUGAAGUUAAGUUCCACUCAGUUGGAAUCCUUUCGUCUGACUUUGGGGAGAUAAAUACUCCAUUACCAAUUAAAGAAGAACAAAGCAAAUCUGUUCUCUUUACGCUCAGGGAGGGCUCUGAGUAUCGGCUUAAGCUAACAUUUAGUGUUCUGCACAACAUUGUUUCUGGUUUGGCCUACACAAAUACAGUAUGGAAGGCUGGUCUUCAAGGUUUGAUUUCUAUACUCAGUUCCUCUUUCUUUUGCAUCCCCUUGUUUUAAAAUUGCUUUGUUGGUCAGCCAAGCACCUAAGGGAUUUAAUACUAGCAUUUCAUUUUGUAGUUGUCAAGCAGCAUGUUCACAUUUAUUUAUUCGAGCAUGGGUCUUCUUCGAAUUGUGCAUUUAUAACUGAAAAUACCAUGUUAUAGUGUGUGGACUGAAUCAUUUAGUUUCAAAGUUUUAGUCAUGUAGAUUGUGUGUGAUUUUAAUGAAGCAGUUAAAAUGAAUUAUGGUUGUGCACUAGGUGUUCCAGCCCAAUAUCUAAGUCCGUCAUGGAAUGAAGGCCAAAAUACUUGGUCUCCAAGUUUGUGGACUCUUUCAUUUCUUUGGGUAUAUUGCCUGAUUUGGUUUCGAAGAUAACAAGGGAAUUUGUCCGUGCUCCGCGGGGUCAUGAAAGCUGUAUUUAUGAUUGAUCUCACAAAUAGUCUUCUCUAUUAACAUUCGUGAAAUUAUAAAAAUUUUAACUCCAUAUACGAUGUACAUUAUGAUUUGAACUUUCAUGCAUGUCAUGUUUGGUUCAUUUUUUUGAGAAAGGUAACAUAUUUGUAUAUUUAUAUAAGACUACACAUAAACAGUGUAGCACCCCUUAGUUACAAAUUACAAAAGUAUAGAGCAUUUGAUCCUCUGUCAUCUCACACGGAUUCUAAUACGUCAAAGAUUGUUUCUUGAUAUUCUAAACCUAUUGCUUUACACCAAAUAAAGACCAGCCCUAAGCAUUUCAUCUUAAUCUUCUGGAGAUGGUCGGCUUUGUUUCCAAAACAUCUUUGGUUUCUCUCUUCCCAAACUGUCCACCAAAUGCACGCUGGAAUAAUCUUCCAUCUCAUUUUUUGAAUUGCAUUACUGCCUUCUUUGUUCCAGCAUGCUAGACUGCAAGCACAUCAGCUAUAUAUUACUCUGAAAGAGAGAGAAAUCAAGAAUGAUGGAGGGUGAGGGUGGUAGCAAUAAAGAGGAAGCAGGUCCAUCUCAUGGUGGCCCCACUUGGUAUGAGGAAGACAAGAGGAUGGAGGAAGAAGAAGAGGGUGAAACUGAGGAAGAUGACCAUCUUCAAGAUUCUGCUGCUGCUGCUGCUGCUGUUGAUAGCACUACAACUUUUGUUCCUGGUCCUCUUCUUUCUCUUAAAGAUCAAAUUGAAAAGGACCAGGUUCUUUAUCUCUUCCUCCCCCCCUCUUAUUUUCUUGUCCAACCACGGGAUACUUGACACCCUCCCCACUUGUUUGGUUUCCCCUUAAAACUCAAAAAGUUCUAACUUUGUGGGUUUCUUGAUGUUUCAUGGGUGUUUCAAGUUUCAAUUUCUUGGGUUAUUUUAGGGCUGUGCUUAUCUGUAUUUUGUUGUUUGAGGUGAUGUAGGUUGUUUCUUCUAGCUGUAGUUUUUGAAUUUGCAUUAAUUGUGAUAUUUUAAAGGAGAAAAAGGUUUAUUUGGUGCUUUUGGGGGUUGAGAAUUUGAGUUCUCCUCAGUGCAGUGAGUAUUAGAAAUAUUUCUAUGCUGUAACAUCUAGUAUUUCUUCUGCUUUGCUGUCCUGUUUGAUCUGGAGUUGGGUUUGUUCUUGUUUGCUCCACUGAAUUUUUUUUUUUUUCCUUUCUUUAAGUUGAAGGGGGCAGUAAUUGGUAAAACUGUUGCCAUGUAACCUCCUUCACGAGUUUAACCUGUGGAAAUAAACUUUUGCAGAAAUGCAGGGCUAAGGCUGCGCACAAUAGAUCCUUGUGGUCCAGCCUUUCCCCAAGCUCUGUGCAUAGCAAGAUCUUUAGUACACCAGGUUGCCUUUGUUCUUUAAUUUGAAAUAGGUUGCCAGUUCUUCUUUAAGAAAAAGUUGAAAUAGUCUCCCAGGUGCAUCGGAAAAUUAAUUUCCGGGGAAUUUCUAUGCUGUACCAUCUAAUGCAUUCCUUCUCAGUUUUACUUUGCUCACUCCAGUUGGAUCUUUUUUGACUUCCUUUAUUUCAAUUUGAAAUAGUUUCUUGCAUUCGAAAAUUCGCUAGGUCUCUUGGCAUGUUUUAAAUUUCCAUAUGGUUGGUCUUUACCUUAUUAAUGUUUGUGUAGGAGGAUGAGAGCUUGAGAAGGUGGAAAGAAAAACUGCUUGGUUGCUUGGAAAGUGACUUAAAUGGUUUGUCUUUUGUCAAUCUGUGUUCCUGAACACAGCAUACUGUUUACUCUGUAAUUAACCAUUAAAUCUUGUUUACUGACUACUUGGAUCAAUUUUAUAGGACAAAUGGAACCUGAAGUUAAGUUCCACUCAGUUGGAAUCCUUUCGUCUGACUUUGGGGAGAUAAAUACUCCAUUACCAAUUAAAGAAGAACAAAGCAAAUCUGUUCUCUUUACGCUCAGGGAGGGCUCUGAGUAUCGGCUUAAGCUAACAUUUAGUGUU
rnacentral:lncRNA from 1 species